UGAACAAAUUCCCCCAUAACUUAAUACUCUCAUCAGAGACAAAACCCUCCAUUCCCGAGCCCAAGAGUUCAUGUUAAAAUACCAGUCCAUUAUUAUCAGGCAAACAGGAAUUGAAACUUUGGUGGUCUUGGAUUUCAUCCAAAUUAUCCAUUUUUUAAUUUGUUCCAUAUAAUCCCACACCAAGCAGUUUCAAAAUUUUCAAAGGAAUUACUUUGUUUUCUGUGGUACUUAUUGGAACUUUUCCAAAUUGGAGUUUCUUUUAAUGUUUGUGAAUCUCUUGAAUGGUUCAAAGAAAUCACUUUUCGAAGUUUUAACAAAAAUGAUCCAUUUCAAGAAGCACAUUUUGAGGCAAAGAAAUUCUUCGAAUGGUUUUAUCCUAUUUCUCAUUGGAUAAAAAUGUUUGAAGCAUUUUCUUUAAAAUUUAAAGAUUUGAGAACUUCCCAAAACAAUGUUUUUGUAAUUCUGAUUUUCCAACGGCAAGGAUAUUUUACAGAAACAGGUUCUUAUGAACACUUCUCUUAUGUUAAGGAGUAUGCAGUCUAACCUUUCAAUCUCCAUCAAGAUUGAGAAAGGUAUCCAAAGGAGUUUCGAGAAUUUCAAAGAAAAAUGGCUGAAAUCAACUAGACAAUUCCUUCACAAAUUUGGCCAGACAUAGAAGAUGAUGCUCCAUGGAAAAUUCUACCUCUAGACUAUGCAACCAAGAUUUAGCAAGACAUUCAGAAACACAGAGAAGGACAAUGCCAAAUUUUUAGACAAGUAUUUGGACACUAUCCAUCUGCUACUUGGGAAAAUGACAAAACCCAUUGGAACCAGCUUUACUUGGGAAGGCCACAUCAAUGCCUUGGAGAAACAUCUAAAUAUCCAGAAACCAUACCAGAAAGACAACAACUGCGUAACAGUCUCUGGAAUGAAUUUCAAGAAAAAAUGAAAAUUGAUAAAAUGGACGUGGACAAACCAGGACCAAGCAAUCCAGGCAAACUUGUAUAAAGGGCCCCCAUAGAUAUGAAGGAAAUGCCAGCCGGAUCGACCAACAAAUGAUAGGCCAGAGAGAUGGGUUCAUUCAACUAAUUAGUGAUCCCUGGGCCUACCUAACACAAAUGUCCCUGAAAUAGGGGAUUGGAUUGGUUGAUCGGAAAGCUCAGGCAGGAGUAGGACAUUCCAUACAAAUCUUUCUGAUCUACUAGCUGGUGGUCCUCUCAAAUCCCAUUUUUUCAUCAACAGGUAGGGUGAAUUCUAAGGUUCCUUAUUCCACUUGUAAACAAACUUCAAGAUAUUUGGACACGGAAAUUAAUUAUAAUGACAGUGUUUUCCAGGACUCUCAAGAUCCAUAUGAUUAUGGAACACAGUCGUAUGAUUUUGAUUCAACAGAGCCAGACAAUCUUGAAAAAUUGGAAGAAAAAAUUUUUAAAGAAAAAUUUGAUACUACAACUAGGCGUUGGUGGAAGCAACAUGGACUCCCCUCUGAUUCAGAUGAUUCAAAUGAACCUGGACGAGAAGCAAAUCUUGGAACACCUUGAUGACUCAGCAGCUCAUGUGAAAUAAUCAUUUUGUCGUUUGCAAUAAAAUCUCUUUUAAAAAGUAGAUUCUUUACUUUUUAAAAGAUGGUUGUAAAAUUAUUGUACUAAAAGUAGUAAGUCAUGCUAGUAAAGUGAUGAGUCAUGUCCUUAUGUAAUAAGUAUUGUACUAAAAGUGAUGAGUCAUUGGUAGUACUAUUAGUUUUGUGUCGGUUGUAUGAUGAGGCUCCUCCUCUAUAUAAGGAGCUCUUAUCUUUCAUUGAGGAUCAUCUCGAGCUCAACUCUUCUUAAUAUAAAAGUUUGUCCCU
rnacentral:lncRNA from 1 species